AAAAUGUGAGCAAGUUGGUAGCUACAUUAAAAAAAGGAUUUACCUUCCAUCUUCCCUUAAACACUUAAAUUUCCCAUCAUCUUCUUCUGGAAAUUUCUUCAUCCUAUAUUCCUUGUACAAAAUCCAGUCUCAUUAGGGUGUUAAUAAUGAAGAAGAUUAUCUAGUUCGUACAAGAUCAUAUCCACGUAUCGAGAUUAUUAAGCGAGGACGAACUUGAUGUUGAGGUAUUUUUGCACUAACUCAUUCGUUUUUAUGUUUCUUCUAACAACGUUGGUCUUAGUUUCACCGUUGGUGAUACCGGAAUUGCCGCCCCCGCCGUUGAUACUUCUCUUCAUUCCUGUAUUGUUAAUGUCGCUUCUUGUUUGCUUGGCCUUAUCUCCAUCAAGAUAUCCAAAUAUCGGCAUAGCUUCCGUUUGAGGAUUAAGAAGGGAAAGGUGGAAGUUGAUGCGGUGGAGCACUGAGGUGAAGGUAGGGAAGGAAGCUUUCUACAGAAGAGUUUUUUGGGUUAAGGAAAAUGGAGUGACACAGGUAGUGUGUAUCAGCUGUUUGCAUGGUUUUUUUUUUUUUUUUUAUAGCGCAAGGUAAGCUUAGCUACUAUCUUGAGGUUAUUAAUGCAGAAGUUUGAUUUCAUAUUUCAGGCAAUGACAUAUUAUGAUAAAAGAUGUUUUGAGAUAA